rnacentral:rRNA from 1 species
AGAGUUUGAUCCUGGCUCAGGAUGAACGCUAGCGGCAGGCUUAACACAUGCAAGUCGAGGGGUAACGGGGAAGCUUGCUUCCGCCGACGACCGGCGCACGGGUGCGUAACGCGUAUACAAUCUACCUUGUACUGGGGUAUAGCCUUUAGAAAUGAAGAUUAACCCCCCAUAGUCUCUUAGAGUGGCAUCACUUCUAGAGUAAAGGUUACGGUAUAAGAUGAGUAUGCGUUCUAUUAGUUUGUUGGUGUGGUAACGGCACACCAAGACUACGAUAGAUAGGGGCCCUGAGAGGGGGAUCCCCCACACUGGUACUGAGACACGGACCAGACUCCUACGGGAGGCAGCAGUGAGGAAUAUUGGACAAUGGAGGCAACUCUGAUCCAGCCAUGCCGCGUGCAGGAAGACUGCCCUAUGGGUUGUAAACUGCUUUUAUACAGGAAGAAACACCUCUACGUGUAGAGGCUUGACGGUACUGUAGGAAUAAGGAUCGGCUAACUCCGUGCCAGCAGCCGCGGUAAUACGGAGGAUCCAAGCGUUAUCCGGAAUCAUUGGGUUUAAAGGGUCCGUAGGUGGAUAAUUAAGUCAGAGGUGAAAUCUUGCAGCUCAACUGUAAAAUUGCCUUUGAAACUGGUUAUCUUGAGUUAUUAUGAAGUAGUUAGAAUAUGUAGUGUAGCGGUGAAAUGCAUAGAUAUUACAUAGAAUACCAAUUGCGAAGGCAGAUUACUAAUAAUCAACUGACACUGAUGGACGAAAGCGUGGGUAGCGAACAGGAUUAGAUACCCUGGUAGUCCACGCCGUAAACGAUGGUUACUAGCUGUUUGGACUUCGGUCUGAGUGGCUAAGCGAAAGUGAUAAGUAACCCACCUGGGGAGUACGUUCGCAAGAAUGAAACUCAAAGGAAUUGACGGGGGCCCGCACAAGCGGUGGAGCAUGUGGUUUAAUUCGAUGAUACGCGAGGAACCUUACCAGGGCUUAAAUGUAAGUUGCAUUAGUUAGAGAUAGCUAUUUCUUCGGACCACUUACAAGGUGCUGCAUGGUUGUCGUCAGCUCGUGCCGUGAGGUGUCAGGUUAAGUCCUAUAACGAGCGCAACCCCUGUUGUUAGUUGCCAGCGAGUCAUGUCGGGAACUCUAGCAAGACUGCCAGUGCAAACUGUGAGGAAGGUGGGGAUGACGUCAAAUCAUCACGGCCCUUACGUCCUGGGCUACACACGUGCUACAAUGGUAGGUACAGAGAGCAGCCACUGCGCGAGCAGGAGCAAAUCUAUAAAACCUAUCACAGUUCGGAUCGGAGUCUGCAACUCGACUCCGUGAAGCUGGAAUCGCUAGUAAUCGGAUAUCAGCCAUGAUCCGGUGAAUACGUUCCCGGGCCUUGUACACACCGCCCGUCAAGCCAUGGAAGUUGGAAGUGCCUGAAGUCCGUCACCGUAAGGAGCGGCCUAGGGUAAAGUCGAUAACUAGGGCUAAGUCGUAACAAGGUA